GCCAGGCGUGGUGGUGCACGCCUGUAAUCCCAGCUACUUGGGAGGCUGAGGCAGGAGAAUCACUUGAACCCAGGAGGUGGAGGUUGCAGUGAGCCGAGAUCACGCCACUGCACUCCAGCCUGGGCAACAGAGCGAGACUCCGUCUCAA
rnacentral:sRNA from 1 species